rnacentral:rRNA from 1 species
AUUGAACGCUGGCGGCAGGCUUAACACAUGCAAGUCGAGCGAGCGGCGGACGGGUGAAUAAUGUCUGGGAAACCGCCUGAUGGAGGGGGAUCACUACUGGAAACGGUAGCUAAUACCGCAUACCAGCCGAUGUGCACAUAUGGGAUUAGCUAGUAGGUUGGGUAAUGGCUCACCUAGGCCACGAUCCCUAGCUGGUCUGAUAGGAUGACCCUCAACACUGGAACUGAGACACGGUCCAGACUCCUACGGGAGGCAGCAGUGGGGAAUAUUGCACAAUGGGCGCAAGCCUGGUGCAGCCAUACCGCGUGUGUGAAGAAGGCCUUCGGGUUGUAAAGCACUUUCAGCGAGGAGGCGUUACUCGCAGAAGAGGCACCGGCUAACUCCGUGCCAGCAGCCGCGGUAAUAC